UGAGCAAUCUGCCCUUCACAUCGGAAUAACCAUUGGAAACGAUGGCUAAUACCGAAUAUGACUUCGGAUCGCAUGAUCUGAAGUGGAAAGCUCCGGCGGUGAAGGAUGAGCUCGCGGCCUAUUAGCUUGUUGGUGAGGUAAUAGCUCACCAAGGCGAUGGACGGGUAGCCGGCCUGGAGGAGGGUCGACCGGCCACACGUGGGACUGACGACACCGGCCCAGACCUCCGG
rnacentral:rRNA from 1 species